CUCAGCAAUUCACCAAGGAGGGCUUGUGAAAUCAGAUUGGGGUUUGCUGGAGACAAGGAGGUUGGUGCCUUGCUGACCUGGCUCAGUGACGAGGCAGCUGGGGUCAGGAAGAGGCACAUUCUUUCCCCUUAGCUCAUCAUCCAGCCUCUGGCUUCCUGGAAUUUCUGUUUGGGUUCCAAAUUACUUGGCAAUGAGUUCUUUUCCCCACAGGUCCUGCACACAGGAACGGAGCACCCGUGCACUUCCAAACCACACCCUUUCACACCCUUUCCUAAAGAGCUGGCUGAGAGCAGCCUAGGAGGCCAGUGAUCGCCUUGGGUCUGGUAACAGUUUUCUGAGGAAGGCAGAAAGGACGAGGGCUUCUGUGCCCUAAGACCCGGGGUAAGAGCAGCCACUUUCUGUGCCACUUCAGAGCGCUUUGUCUCCUCUCAAGCUUCCGUCUCUCAGCUCAUCAAGGCAAAUGUAAAGGCACCCUGGUGAGCGGCUUCACUGGUGGAUCGCUUUAAUUGAUUAGUGGGAGAUCAAGUUUGCCAGAGAUUGUGAGUGGAAUCUCAGCAGUGGUGAAAACAUUCUCUCCUGCCACUCCGAGUCAGUGGUCACCAGCCACGUGUGUCUGGGGCUAUGGCCACUUCAAGUCAGCGGUCACCAGCCAUGUGUGUCUGGGGCUACAGCCACUCCAGAGUGACCGCGUGCUUCUAGGGAAGAGAAUGAUGGGGUCCUUCAGCCAACCCAGCCUUGGGGUUCUGAGCCUGGGUCCUACACAGUCCUGACCGAGUUAACAGUCUGACCUCGGACAAGAUGUACACUCGCUCAAGGUGAGGCAAGAAGCUGCGGGAAACAGGUGGGUUCCUGGUCACUCUCUUGGCUAAAUGUAUGCGGUUUCUCCAAGAAGGAGCAGCGGCAGCAAGAAUGAUGGGUAAUGAUGAUGGAGCCCUUGUGAAGUGCCAGACAUAGUCCUGGGUGCCUAGCCAGUACAGGCUCAGGAGGUGCUUCAGGAGCUCCCUAUCAUAGCCUUCUGCGGCUGCCUUCCCAGAGGAUGACUAUUUGGAUGUUCAAGCACUUCCCAGUUUUACCACCAGAGGGAGCAGCUGCUGUGUCUGGGAACUGGGAGAUUCCCAGCUAGGGUGCUCUUGUCCUGGAAGCUCUUCAGCCCAGAUACUGGCUGGACUGGGG